rnacentral:tRNA from 1 species
GCGGGCGGCUGGCGCGCGACGCCUUUGCGGCUCGUGCUCGCGGGCAGCGUGUGCAUGCUGCUCUUCUCCGCGAUCUCGACGCUGUUGCUCGCG